GACGAACGCUGGCGGCGUGCUUAACACAUGCAAGUCGAACGGAAAGGCCCUGCUUUUGUGGGGUGCUCGAGUGGCGAACGGGUGAGUAACACGUGAGUAACCUGCCCUUGACUUUGGGAUAACUUCAGGAAACUGGGGCUAAUACCGGAUAGGAGCUCCUGCUGCAUGGUGGGGGUUGGAAAGUUUCGGCGGUUGGGGAUGGACUCGCGGCUUAUCAGCUUGUUGGUGGGGUAGUGGCUUACCAAGGCUUUGACGGGUAGCCGGCCUGAGAGGGUGACCGGCCACAUUGGGACUGAGAUACGGCCCAGACUCCUACGGGAGGCAGCAGUGGGGAAUAUUGCACAAUGGGCGGAAGCCUGAUGCAGCAACGCCGCGUGCGGGAUGACGGCCUUCGGGUUGUAAACCGCUUUCGCCUGAGACGAAGCGUGAGUGACGGUAAUGGGUAAAGAAGCACCGGCUAACUACGU
rnacentral:rRNA from 1 species